rnacentral:lncRNA from 1 species
GUUCCUAUCCGGCGAACCAAAGGUCAUGUUUAGACGCCGAGGUGGCCCCACUUGUUGGGACCACCGAAGUUGACCCAGGGGACAGCAUGCUUUCCGUACUCCACCAACCUACCUGCCAGCGCGACAGACGGGUUGCAGAGCAGGAGCCUAACCACCCACAGGCUAGAAGACAAGAAGGGCACAGUGUACGAUCCUGCAGACCGCCUGACACGGGAAAAGCAGCUCCCGACAACACCUUUGGUCGGCCACGCGUCGCACCACCAGCCAAGAACCCAAGGUCAACUCUCACUCCUAUAAAUAGGAGUACCCACCAACAGGAAGUAUCCUAACCUCAACUCCUUGACUCUCUAAUAUUAUUCUUCUUGUCACUCACUCUCUCUACUUCAUAUACUGACUUGAUCGUCGGAGAGCCUUUUCAGGUACCUCCACCGGCGGGCCCAACUCUCUUGCUACCU